GGGAAUGUAGCUCAGUGGAAAAGCACCUGCUUUUCAUGCAGAAGGUCCCAGGUUCAAAUCCUGGCAGCAUCUCCA